AUUGAACGCUGGCGGCAGGCCUAACACAUGCAAGUCGAACGAGUGGCGGACGGGUGAGUAAUGUCUGGGACACUGCCUGAUGGAGGGGGAUAACUACUGGAAACGGUAGCUAAUACCGCAUACCCUCAGUUGUGCCCAGAUGGGAUUAGCUAGUUGGUGGGGGAACAGCUCACCAAGGCGACGAUCCCUAGCUGGUCUGAGAGGAUGACCAGCCACACUGGGAAUGAGACACGGUCCAGCCUCCUACGGGAGGCAGCAGUGGGGAAGAUUGCACAAUGGGCGCAAGCCUUAUGCAGCCAUGCCGCGUGUAUGAAGAAGUCCUUCGGGUUGUAAAGUACUUUCAGCGGGGAGGCGUUACCCGCAGAAGAAGCACCGGCUAACUCCGUGCCAACCGCCGCGAUAAUUC
rnacentral:rRNA from 1 species